UAUUCAACAACUAGGUUUACAGCUUUAUACAACCAUUCGGUCAAUGAGAUCCUAAACUAUUGCCUACAAGCAAGGCUUGAUCAUAAACUAAAUAGGAAAGGAAAUAACUACAAUAUCAAUUUACAAUGUUGACUAAGUAAUAGAGAUAUUUUCCUUAACACUCCUCCUCAAGUUGGAGUGUAUGUUAAUGACACCCAACUUGCCAAGUAGAACUUCGAACUGUGUUGAACUCAACGGCUUAGUGAAGAUAUCAGCUGGUUGAUCAUUGGUCCGUAUGUAAGCCGUGCGUAUCAUUCCUUCUUGAACCUUCUCUCGUACUAGAUGACAAUCGAUUUCUAUGUGCUUCGUUCGUUCAUGAAAAACAGGAUUUGAAACAAUGUGUAAUGCUGCUUGAUUGUCACAAAACAACUUGACUGGCUGAGAAUGGUUCACUCUUAGGUCCUUCAAAAUAUUCUUCAGCCAUAUGAUUUCACAACAUGUGGUGGCCAUGGAACGGUAUUCAGCCUCUGCACUCGAACGAGAUAUUGUUGUUUGUUUCUUAGUUUUCCAAGAAAUAGGUGCGUGACCGAGCAAACAGUACCCCGUUAUCGACCUUCUAGUAUCUUGACAUCUAGCCCAAUCAGCAUCACAAAAUGCUUGUAAUUGCAAUGAGCCUGUGGAAGGAAGAAAAAUCCCUUGUCCAGGUGCUUGUUUAAUGUACUUGAGGACCUUGUGCGCAGCAUCAAGGUGUGGUUGCCGAGGUUUCUCCAUGAACUGACUUAGCAUGUGAACAGCAUAAGCCAAGUCAGGCCUUGUUAUGGUCAAGUAUAUUAACCUCCCCACAAGUCGUCUAUACGAUGAAGGAUCAUUCAGCUCAUUUCCUUCCAUUUGUGUGUAUGACAAAUUUUGAUCCACAGGGAACCGAGAAGGCUUAACGCCUAGAAACCCAGCAUCUUCCAAUAUUUCGAUAGCAUAUUUACAUUGACAUAUAGUAAUUCCAUGCUUUGAUCGUGCAACUUCUAUUCCUAAGAAAUAUUUGAGUUGCCCCAAGUCUUUCAGUUUGAAACGCUGAGAGAGGAACUGCUUGGUUUCUUCAAUUUCAUGCAGAUUAUUCCCUGAUAAUAUCACAUCAUCAACAUAUACUAGUAAAGCAAUGAAGUUACCAUGACGACUUCGGACGAAUAGUGAAUAGUCGGACCGUGAUUGAUGAAAUCCAGCAGUCUUCAGAGCAUGAGAUAACUUAAUGAACCAUUGCCUUGAAGCUUGCUUUAAACCGUAGAGGGAUUUAUUCAACUUGCAUACUCAAGUCUCCCCCUUUCGUCCGAAACCAGGAGGCAAGGUCAUGUAGACAUCCUCGUCAAGAUCACCAUUUAAGAAAGCAUUGUUGACAUCCAGCUAAUGAAGAUGCCAACCUUGCACAGCGGCGACACUGAGGAGCACACGAACUGUGGUUAACUUGGCGACAGGAGCAAAGGUUUCUCGAUAAUCAACACCUUCAAUUUGACCGUAACCUUUGGCAACGAGGCGGGCUUUGUACCGGUCAAUGGUGCCAUCAGGUUUGAGUUUGAUCUUGUAAACCCAUUUACAACCAAUGGGACGUUUGUGCAGCGGCAAAGUCACGAGGGUCCAGGUAUGAUUGGCUUGAAGGGCAGCAAUUUCAUGUUGCAUGGCAUCACGCCAGUGUGGAUCAUGGAUAGCCUGUGAAAAACUGGUAGGUUCUCUGAGGAGGGAAAGAUUAGUGGUAUAUGCUUUAUGGUGAGAAGAGAGUCGAUCGUAGGACAAAUAAGUGGAGAGAGGGUGAGAAGUACCUGAUGAGGAAAGAGCCACGUUCGUAAAAGAUGUGGGAGCAGGCCUGGACAGGAGAUCAACCUCGACAUGAAAGUCCUGCAAAAAAGAAGAGGGUUUGGUGGGGCGUGUGCUACGUCGUGGUGGAGUGGGUGGGGCUGGGGAGGGAGAGGGUAGGAUUAUGGUGUCUGGAGAUGGUGCAUGUGGUGGUGUAGAAGGUGGGGAAGGAGAAGAAGGUGUGUGGGGGGGGUGAAGGCGCGGAUGACGGGGAAAGAGGCGCGGAUAGUGUGUGGGAGGUGGAGAGGUCAGUGGAGAGGGUGGGUAGUAGUGGUCGCGGGACAGGGAAGGGAUCUGCAACAAGGGGAGAUAAGGAGUGGUUUGGGAUGGUGGACUGUGGUUGAGCAGCGGAAGUGUCAGAAUGAUAAGGGAAAUGGUUUUCGAAAAAGAGCACGUCCCGUGAGACAAAAAUUUUGUUAAGAUGAAAAUCGAAAAGUCGAUAACCCUUUUGGCCAUAUGGGUACCCAAGAAAAACACAACGACGAGCACGGGGAUCAAAUUUGGAAGGUUUAUAUGCGUGAGUGGAAGCAAAACACAAGCAACCAAAAACACGUAAGUGGAAGUAACUGGGUGCUGUUUAGAACAACAUUUCAUAAGGUGUCUUCCCUUGGAGAAGAGGUGUGGGUGUGCGGUUGAUGAGAUAGGCUGAAGUGAGUAUGGCGUCCCCCCAAAAACGUUUUGGCAUGUUGGCUUGAAAGAGUAAAGCUCGGGCAACAUUUAAUAAAUGUCGAUGCUUACAUUCAGCAACACCAUUUUGCUGGGGUGUGUGCACGCAGCUGGUUUGAUGGACAAUACAUUUCGUUGCAUAAAAACUAUCAAGCUUAAACUCGGGACCAUUAUCACUACAAAUGAUUUUGACUUUGGUAUUAAAUUGGGUUUCGACCAAAUGAACAAAUUGCACAAGAAGCUGCUGUGUGUCAGAUUUAUAUUUCAUUAGGUAAAUCCAGGUGCUCCGAGUGUAAUCAUCAACGAUAAUGAGAAAAUAUUUUGCACCAGAAAUAGAGGGAACGUGAUACCCCCCCCCCCCCCAAAUAUCAACAUGUAUCAAUUCAAAACAAGAUUUAGUGGAUAUGGAACUCAGGGAAAAUGGUGCUCUUGUUUGCUUGGCUAAAGGACAAAUGACACACUUAUUUGAAUCACAAAAACUUGGUUUUAAAAAAGGAAAUGACAUGGAAACAGUUUUGGAUGGAUGGUCGAGGCGUUGAUGUUAAAGAUGAUGGUUGGUUGUGCUAAUGGUGUUGCAUGUUCCUUUCUUUGAUGGGUCGAGAUAGUAGAGGCCCCCCCAUUCAAUUCCCGUCCCAAUCAUCUUCCCCGAGCGUAAGUCUUGUAUGACACAAAACUGUUUUAGGAAGAUGGUAAUAUAAAGGGAAUCAUAUGCGAGUUUGCUAAUGGAUAUCAGAUUUAAGGUAAAGAAUGGGACACACAAAACAUUAUCAAGCACAAGUGUGGGAGAGAAUACCACUUGUCCAAUGUGAGUGACCGUGGCAAGGGAACCAUUGGGGAGUUCAACAGUGUGAUUUGUAACUGGCCUCGAUGAUGUGAGAUAAUGAGGACUGCAAACAACGUGGUUCGUUGCACCACUAUCCAAGAUCUAAACAUUUUUAAUGCCAUUCUGCAUGAAGGAAAAUGUUUUACCUGAGAGUUCUUCAUUAGUCGAAGAGUUACCCACGUGAUUUGCAAAUGAGGAACGAUUUUUGUUUUAACAUGGCAAGGAUCUGCUUACAAUCUUCUUGGGAAAAGGGAAAGCUUGGCAUCCCAUCUCUCUUGUCAUGCACGGCAACUUGAUUUCCCUUGGAAGUUGAUGAACGGCUUUGUUCAGUUUCAGCAGCUGCUUUGCAUUUGCGGCAAUAUUCGAAGGUAUGACCCUUCCAACCACAGAAAGUGCAUUGAGAUGGGCACGACAAUUUUUGGUGCUAUGGUUCGUCUUGUUACAUUUGCCACAGCGAGGACCACCAUCCUCGGUUUCAAGCUCGCGUCCACCAUGCUUUACAGCAAAAGCUGCUGCUUCAGGUUGAGGGGUAUUCUUUCCAUUUGAAACUUCCGCCUGCUUCUCAUGGCGAAGAACAAGAGAGUAAGCUUUGUUCACUGUGGGAAAAGGCUCAAGAAGAAGGAUAUUACUACGGUCAGUGGAAAAGGAAUCACUUAAACCCAUGAGAAAUUUCAUUGUUUUCUGGGUCUCAACAUAAGAGAUGAUUUCCUUCUUUGUAUCGCAGCUACAUGCAGGAAUAGAACACAGUACAUCACGCUCGUCCCACAAGCCUUUUAGUUUGGUAAAGUAUGAACUCACCGGCAUGUUACCUUGCACACAAUCAUGGAUCUCGUUUUCUACAUGAAACAAUUGAACGAUAUUUGCAUGAGAAAACCGUUCUUGUAAAUCAAGCCACAUCUGCCUUGCAUCCUUGCAGUUGAUGACGCUGCUUGAGAUUUCUUUUGACAUGGAUCCUAAGAGCCAUGUUUUAACCAGAUUAUUGCAGCGAUUCCAUUGCUGCAAUCCUUCAUGUUCAUCUUCACUCGGCUUCUUGAUAGUCCCAUCAACAAGCCCUAAUUUGUUCUUGAUCGUUAAGGCCAUGGUCAUGGAUUGAAUCCAUGUACUGUAAUUGUCUUCCACCAAUGGCUGCGACACAAGUACUGCACCAGGUUGAUCUGAAUGAUGGAGAUAAAGUGGGUGGUUAGGACUCUCCCACUUUAGAUGUGAAGUCAUGCUCGAGGAAGUUGACUUCGUGUCUGUGUUAUCACCCAUGGCUAUGGUUUGCUAGGGUUGUUUUGGUGUUUGUGUGUUUGCUGUUUAUUUUCCCAGAUAUCAAUCACUCUGGUACCAUCAUAAUAAUCACAUAAUGGGAUUAUAAUAUUCUAUUCAUAUUCAACAACUAGGUUUACAGCUUUAUACAACCAUUCGGUCAAUGAGAUCCUAAACUAUUGCCUACAAGCAAGGCUUGAUUAGAAACUAAAUAGGAAAGGAAAUAACUACAAUAUCAAUUUACAAUGUUGACUAAGUAAUAGAGAUAUUUUCCUUAACAAAAAGCAUUGGAAAGUAAGACAAACUGGUUGUCUUUUUCUGAUUGUUGAGAAAGUCUUUGUUUGUCCUUUCUCCCUUGUCUCUCUCCUUCGCCCCCUUCCUAUUCGCUUGAUUCCUUCCAUCUUUGAUCGUCCUUCUACGUAUGUCUGACUUUUACAUUCAAAGAUGUUGUCUGCACCCCCAUAUCCAAAAUGCUGCUGCUAAACUUGUCCAUGUCGAAACUAAAAUAUUGCCCGGCGCGGGGGCAUUCUAUGUUAUAUACCUGCCUAUAGUUCUUGGAAUAUAAGAUAUAUGCAUAUUUGGGAACGUUACAUUAAUUGUUGGUAGAUUAAAAGGUCUCUACUUUUUUCAAGCCAAUGAUGGAUAAUAAACUUUGCUAGGUCAAACAUUAGCAAGAUAUGAACAGGGGUUGCCCAAUGGUUGAGAACAAAUUCGAGGCCUGUAUUUCACAUGGCACGUUCUGGGUUUGAUUCCUAAUGUUGGUGAAUCACACGGUGGUGGCCAGGAGAAGCUGAAAUGCCCUUGUGGGUCUUCCUGAAAAGAUGGAUCAUCGUGACGAAACAACCUACUGGUCCGCGAGGGUAGAUGAGUUCUUAUUAAUAACGUCGAGUUUACAUUAUACAAAGGUUCAAAC
rnacentral:lncRNA from 1 species